AGUUUGAUCCUAUCGGGAUUGAACGCUGGCGGGAUGCUGCAUAACAUGCAAGCUUCAACGGCAGCACGGACUUCGGUCUGGUGGCGGAGUGGCGAACGGGUGAGUAAUGUAUCGGAACGUGCCUAGUAAUAGUGUAGUGAUAACUACGUGCGAAAGCGUAGCUAAUACCGCAUACGCUCCCCGGGGGAAAGCGGGGACCUUUCGCCUCGCACUAUUAGAGCGGCCGAUAUCGGAUUAGCUAGUUGGUGGGUAACGUUCACCAAGGCGACGAUCCGUAGCUGGUUUGAGAGGACGACCAGCCACACUGGGACUGAGACACGGCCCAGACUCCUACGGGAGGCAGCAGUGGGAAUUUUGGACAAUGGGAAACCCCGAUCCAGCCAUCCCGCGUGUGCGAUGAAGGCCUUCGGGUUGUAAAAAGCACUUUUGGUGAGAAGAAAACGGCACGGGAUAAUACCCUGGUGCAACUGACGGUACUGGCAGGAAUAAGCACCGGCUAACUACGUGCCAGCAGCCGCGGUAAUACGUAGGGUGCAAGCGUUAAUCGGAAUUACUGGGCGUAAAGCGUGGCGCAGUGAAGGCGGUUCGGGAAAGAAAGAUGUGAAAUCCCAGAGCUUAACUUUGAACUGCAUUUUUAACUACCGAGCUAGAGUGUGUCAGAGGGAGGUGGAAUUCGCGUGUAGCAGUGAAAUGCGUAGAUAGUGCGGAGGAACACCGAUGGCGAAGUUGCGUUCCCGCUGGGAUAACACUGACGCUCAUGCACGAAAGCGUAGACAAACAGAUUAGAUACCCUGGUAGUCCACGCCCAAACGAUGUCAACUAGCUGUUGGGGCCUUCGGGCUCGGUAGCGUAGCUAACGCGCGUGAAGUUGACCGCCUGGGGAGUACGGUCGCAAGAUUAAAACUCCUUAAAGGAAUUGACGGGGACUCCACAAGCGGUGGAUGAUGUGGAUUAAUUCGAUGCAACGCGAAAAACCUACCUACCCUUGACAUGUCUGAAUCCCGAAGAGAUUGGGAGUGCUCGCAAGAGAACCGAACACAGGUGCUGCAUGGCUGUCGUCAGCUCGUGUCGUGAGAUGUUGGGUUAAGUCCCGAAUUAGUGGCAACCCUUUGUCAUUAGUUGCUACGAAAGGGCACUCUAAUGAGACUGCCGGUGACAAACCGGAGGGAAGGGGGAUGACGUCAAGUCCUCAUGGCCCUUAUGGGUAGGGCUUCACACGUCAUACAAUGGCCGGGACAGAGGGUCGCCAACCCGCGAGGGGGAGCCAAUCCCAGAAACCUGAUCGUAGUCCGAUCGCAGUCUGCAACUCGACUGCGUGAAGUCGGAAUCGCUAGUAAUCGCGGAUCAGCAUGUCGUGGCAACAUGUUCCCGGGUCUUGUACACACCGCCCGUCACACCAUGGGAGUGGGUUUUUACCAGAAGUAGUUAGCCUAACCGGUAAGGAGGGCGAUUACCACGGUAGGAUCUAUGACUGGGGUGAAGUCGUAACAAGGUAG
rnacentral:rRNA from 1 species